GAUCCUGGCUCAGGAUGAACGCUAGCGGCAGGCUUAACACAUGCAAGUCGAGGGGCAGCGAGAUCAAAGCUUGCUUUGAUUGUCGGCGACCGGCGCACGGGUGCGUAACGCGUAUGCAACCUACCCACUACAGGGGGAUAACACUGAGAAAUCGGUACUAAUACCCCAUAAUAUCUUGAAAGGCAUCUUUCGUAGGUUGUAAAACUACCGGUGGUAGUGGAUGGGCGAUGCGUUGUAUUAGU
rnacentral:rRNA from 1 species